GGGUUGUGAGGUUAAGCGACUAAGCGUACACGGUGGAUGCCCUGGCAGUCAGAGGCGAUGAAGGACGUGCUAAUCUGCGAUAAGCGCCGGUAAGGUGAUAUGAACCGUUAUAACCGGCGAUUUCCGAAUGGGGAAACCCAGUGUGAUUCGUCACACUAUCAUUAACUGAAUCCAUAGGUUAAUGAGGCGAACCGGGGGAACUGAAACAUCUAAGUACCCCGAGGAAAAGAAAUCAACCGAGAUUCCCCCAGUAGCGGCGAGCGAACGGGGAGGAGCCCAGAGCCUGAAUCAGCAUGUGUGUUAGUGGAAGCGUCUGGAAAGGCGCGCGAUACAGGGUGACAGCCCCGUACACAAAAGCGCAUGUGCUGUGAGCUCGAUGAGUAGGGCGGGACACGUGGUAUCCUGUCUGAAUAUGGGGGGACCAUCCUCCAAGGCUAAAUACUCCUGACUGACCGAUAGUGAACCAGUACCGUGAGGGAAAGGCGAAAAGAACCCCGGCGAGGGGAGUGAAAAAGAACCUGAAACCGUGUACGUACAAGCAGUAGGAGCACAGGUUUACCUGUGUGACUGCGUACCUUUUGUAUAAUGGGUCAGCGACUUAUAUUCUGUAGCAAGGUUAACCGAAUAGGGGAGCCGCAGGGAAACCGAGUCUUAACCGGGCGUUAAGUUGCAGGGUAUAGACCCGAAACCCGGUGAUCUAGCCAUGGGCAGGUUGAAGGUUGGGUAACACUAACUGGAGGACCGAACCGACUAAUGUUGAAAAAUUAGCGGAUGACCUGUGGCUGGGGGUGAAAGGCCAAUCAAACCGGGAGAUAGCUGGUUCUCCCCGAAAGCUAUUUAGGUAGCGCCUCGUGAACUCAUCUCCGGGGGUAGAGCACUGUUUCGGCUAGGGGGCCAUCCCGGCUUACCAACCCGAUGCAAACUGCGAAUACCGGAGAAUGUUAUCACGGGAGACACACGGCGGGUGCUAACGUCCGUCGUGAAGAGGGAAACAACCCAGACCGCCAGCUAAGGUCCCAAAGUCAUGGUUAAGUGGGAAACGAUGUGGGAAGGCCCAGACAGCCAGGAUGUUGGCUUAGAAGCAGCCAUCAUUUAAAGAAAGCGUAAUAGCUCACUGGUCGAGUCGGCCUGCGCGGAAGAUGUAACGGGGCUAAACCAUGCACCGAAGCUGCGGCAGCGAACGUAUCACUUAAAGCGAUUCAGCGGGUUACGAUUGACGGAGCGAAGCGACGUCAAAGCGUAUACAAAGUCGAGUCGGUUUAAGGAUACGUUCGUUGGGUAGGGGAGCGUUCUGUAAGCCUGUGAAGGUGUGUCGUGAGGCAUGCUGGAGGUAUCAGAAGUGCGAAUGCUGACAUAAGUAACGAUAAAGCGGGUGAAAAGCCCGCUCGCCGGAAGACCAAGGGUUCCUGUCCAACGUUAAUCGGGGCAGGGUGAGUCGACCCCUAAGGCGAGGCCGAAAGGCGUAGUCGAUGGGAAACGGGUUAAUAUUCCCGUACUUGGUGUUACUGCGAAGGGGGGACGGAGAAGGCUAUGUUGGCCGGGCGACGGUUGUCCCGGUUUAAGCGUGUAGGUGUGUGUUCCAGGUAAAUCCGGUUCACUUUAACACUGAGGCGUGACGACGAGGCACUACGGUGCUGAAGCAACAAAUGCCCUGCUUCCAGGAAAAGCCUCUAAGCAUCAGGUAACAUCAAAUCGUACCCCAAACCGACACAGGUGGUCAGGUAGAGAAUACCAAGGCGCUUGAGAGAACUCGGGUGAAGGAACUAGGCAAAAUGGUGCCGUAACUUCGGGAGAAGGCACGCUGACAUGUAGGUGAAGUGAUUUACUCA
rnacentral:rRNA from 2 species